rnacentral:sRNA from 1 species
CCAGAGAAUUUGUUUCCCUGAAUCAUCGAGAUGAGACCACUCUUAAUCUUGAAGUUGUUGUUCUGGAUAGCAGGAGGUGCAAUUCCUUUCUUCUAACGAUGGUCCCUUGGUGCAUCUCCAGCACCAAUGUUGACAUGGCCAUUUUGUUGAUUCUUUUCGUCAGUCAUCGAGUGGUUGUUGGGGCAAAAGGUUGACUAUGUUUCUCCUUUCUCUGAGUUCGCGAGCUAUGCGGUCGAUGUUAUCGUUGAAAAGGAGGUUCUGAUUGCCUGUUGAUCGAGUUUGCAUACAGCAGAGGUGUACCUAGAUCAAAAAGACAACAAGAAAAACACACAGUUAGCAACCGAUUUGAAAAUUGAAAAAGAACUUGAUCUAAGCAAGUUUGAAAUCUCAAAUGUAACACACAAACACCCAAUUGGCAACGGCGCCAAAUUGAUAAUAGGUUUUUAGUCAAUUAUCCUAAACCACCAAUCAUGUCGUUGUAGUAUUUUAGGUGUCAAUCCAAAUGGGUGUGAUGCUAACAAUCAAGUUGUGAUCAGAAGUCACUAAAUCAAGCCAAGCAAUAACAGAUUUUGGUGUGUUCUAGCAGUCCUAAGUGAGCAUGCAGAAAACAGAAAAUCAAGUAGAAACAAGAAAACACUCGACCAACACAGCUCGAUGCAGCUCAACACAGGGUGUGGUCGAGUGACAGGUCGAGUAACAGACAUAAAAUGUAACAGGGAUACUCGACUCCAGAGUCUGUUGCCAGACAACUGGGUGGUCGAGUAUCAGGUCGAGUAACAGCAAAGAAUUGCAGGGACUAAGCAACAGAUGACAAGAUGCAGUAAACAACGGUAAAGUAAAUAAUAAAAUCAAUCAGAUAAAGAAUUUCCGAGGAUGGAGUAAUUGAGUAGUUUCGUUUCCUCAGUUUACAGGUGAUUGACAUGCUCAAUAAACUAUCCCUACACAACAAGUUCAUUAACCAAAUCUAAGUGCCACCGCAAUAGAGACCCUCAAGUUAACCUAGUCUCAGACUCAAUCACCAUUGACGAGAGCUAACCUAACAGGCAUUACGAAUCAACAAGUUAAAGCCAAAACGCUCCCUGCAACCAAUACCUUGGUACAGGGUCACGAAUCUCUGGAAUUAGUGGUUCAGACAUUUCAGCGAACACCUUUUGGGCGUGGAAAUGUCUGGGCUCAAAUUCCAGUUGAUCAGAAAUCUAUAGGCAUUAAGAACAACUAACCCAGAAGAGAUCUAUCAAUCAAACUCAACCACCUAGCAUACUGAGAUUCUAAACUACUCUAACCCAUCCUCAGAAACCUAUUCACUACUCAGACAUCAUUGUAGAAAACAUAAACGUUGAAUGA